UUAAUAUAUGGCAGUCUCUUUUGUUUUUCUGCCAAUUUAAUUUUAAGAUAACAAUUAAGUGAGAGGCAAUUAAUGAAUUUAAUUAUAACAAGAAUUAAUUGGCUAACACUAAAUAUGCAACAAAAGAAAUAUGUUCUGUAUCCAUUUCAAUUUGAAUAUUCAUAAAUUAAGUGCUCGUGCACUUUGGAAUUUCUGCUCAAAACGAUAUCUAGGACAAUAGGUGAAAGCAAUACGAAGUGUUUUGUUAUUUUUAUCAGGCGUUAUCGUUUCAAUUCUUAUUUACUUUUCGAUGUUUAUUGUUUCAUCUAUUGGCAUGCGUUUUUUAAACGCAACCACGCAAAGUUUUUAAACCUAACACGAGAGAUUAGAUCUAAAGUAGUAUUUUAUGGUUGAAUUUUGACAUUUGAGAUCUUUGCUAGAAACUGUUUCCUUUUGGAUGUUAUUACUUGUAAGUGGGCAAAAAAAGAAAAUCUAGACUCCAUUAACAACUGAAUAAAGAACAUAGAGACAUUAAAUCAGGUUAUGAGUGACCAUGGCUUUCAGUUUAGUAGAGCUUCAGAACAGAAUGCUGAUAGUUCUUAUUGCAGCAAAUUUGCUCUCAAUGUACAUCACAUAUCCUAGCACAAGACCCCUCGUCCUUUUCUUCACUGCUCUAACAUGCCUGUGUUCAUUCACAUUUUCCAUGAGAAAGUACAUUCUGAAUUUAUUUGAAGCAGCAGAAAGCUCUUUCGCUCUGAAAAUUCACGAUGAAUUAUAACCUUCAAUGAACUUUUCAUUCAUCAUCAGAAACUAAUCAUUAUUAUUCAUUUACUCAUGAGCACUUCAUUUGUUAUGUUAUUAAACUGUGUAAAGGUUUAAUAUUGAUCUGAAUUGUAAUAAAAAUGCUUUAUUAGUGUUUGAAAA